UGGGGAAUUUUCCGCAAUGGGCGCAAGCCUGACGGAGCAAGACCGCGUGGGGGAGGAAAGCCUUUGGGUUGUAAACCCCUUUUCUCAGGGAAGAAGAAAGUGACGGUACCUGAGGAAUCAGCCUCGGCUAACUCCGUGCCAGCAGCCGCGGUAAUACGGAGGAGGCAAGCGUUAUCCGGAAUGAUUGGGCGUAAAGCGUUCGUAGGUGGCGAUUCAAGUCUGCUGUCAAAGACAGUAGCUCAACUACUGAAAGGCAGUGGAAACUGAAUGGCUAGAGUGCGGUAGGGGCAGAGGGAAUUCCCGGUGUAGCGGUGAAAUGCGUAGAGAUCGGGAAGAACACCGGUGGCGAAAGCGCUCUGCUGGGCCGCAACUGACACUGAGGUACGAAAGCUAGGGGAGCGAAUG
rnacentral:rRNA from 1 species